GAAACGCUGUCCCCGACAGGUGGAGGCUAGCGCUUUGGUUCCGAGGACGCUCCGGACCCGACUGCUUCUGCAGCGACACCGCUCGGUCCUAGAAGGAUGAACUUGGCAUGCAAACUGGAGGGCUCAGUUCAAAAACAGGCAUCUGCAUUUCAAGAAGGGAGGUGUGAAGAGCGGAGCGCAUCGCGUCUGCCCGGCUGGAGGUGCAGCAGCCCUGGGAAUCGGCCCGUCGCUGGGGGUUCCUUGUCUGCCCAGUGCUGGACCACGACCACGGGAUCCUUUCUGCCUGCCAAGGGUUAGGGUUAGAAUUUAUCACACUGUUUAUUUGUUUGUUUGUUUAUUUUGGGUUUUCCAACAUUUUUUAAUGUAAACUUUUCAAACACACAGAAAAGUAAGAAGUAAGGUACAGUGAACACCCUCUACCCACCACAUAGAACCUAUACUUAACAUUUUGCUGAACUGGAUUUAUCACAUAUCUAUCCAUCCCUUCAUCCAUCCUUCAAUCCAUCGUUUAAAAUAUACAUUUCAAAAUAAGUUGCUGACAUCAGAUACUUCCUCCUAAAUGCUUCAGCAUACAUAGCAUUAAUUGGAGCUCAAUUUAGUUUACAGUUCUUGUUGGGGUUAAAUAUUUUAUUUUUAACAUGAAUGUUUUUCUUUUAUAAAAUGUCUCACGAUUAGCCACUAUCUAACCCUUGGUAUGGUAUUUGGUUAACGUUUGCCUCCCCCUCCGAGGUUACAGGGACUGCGCCGUUUUGCUCACCAACGAAUCCACAGGGCU